GACAGAUCUAAAUCUGGGUUUAAAAAAACAGAAAGCAGGCCAGGUGCAGUGGCUCACACCUGUAAUCCCAGUACUUUGGGAGGCUGAGGUGGGAGGAUUGCUUGAACCUGAGAGGUUGAGGCUGCAGUGAGCCAUGAUCACAUCACUGCACUCCAGCCUGGAUAACAGAGCAAGACUAUGACUCAAGAAUAAAAAGAAAAAAAGAUAUGAAAAAUUUCUAAGGAACUGAUUACUAACUCUCUUAUAUAAAAUAUUUAAAAGAAACUGACAAAAACUCCAAAUAGAAGGACAAUAAUAUUUGUAAAAUUAUAAAAUCUUUCAGAGAAAAAUGAUAAUUACAAGUGGGGUUCCUUUAAAAUCACAUUCUAGUUUUGUAAUUCAUGUAUUUCUUUUCUUGGUAGGAAGCAUGGGUUUACUUCCUUUUUGUAUGGGAGGACCCUAGACAAAGCUUUAUUUAGAGCAGAAGAUCAGCUGAAUAGCCCUAUAUCUACAGAAGAAACUAAAUUUAUACUUUAAAAUGUCCCAACAAACAAAACUUUAAGCAUCUUCAGGGAAGAUGGCUUCACUGAAUUCUACCAAACAUUUAAGGAAGAAAUAGUACCAAUCCUAUAAAAAAUUUUCCAAAAUAUAGAAGAGAGGGUAAUAUUUUCCAACUCAUUUUAUGAUAAUAGCAUUAUACAUGGGUUUACUUCUUAAAAGCUUAAGGUAAUUGUUCUCAACUGAGGGUGAUUUUGGCUCCCAGGAACAUUUGGCAUUAUCUAGAGACAUUUUUGACUGUUACAACUAGGGAGCAGUGCCACUGGAAACCAGUGGGUAAAGACCAG
rnacentral:lncRNA from 1 species